GCAAGCCGCGGCUGACUGCGUAGCUAUAGAAGCCGCCGUUUGUGGCAAAUAGAGGGAUUACAACUGGCACUUUCAUUUACUUUUGAAUGUGAGCGUGAGAUGAAGAACUCAUCAAAGCAUUCAGAGGCUGAUCCAGAACCCGAUCGAAGGGGGGUCACAAAAACCGAUCAGAACUACAGAAGACAAGUAAAACUGCAGCAAAGCCUUUCUGAUAGCAUGUUUGCUGGAUGAGAGAGUGUAUUGGUGAUCUGAUGCUCUCUUGUGGUCAAAGGUACACAUUGUAAAGGACUGUUGAUCUUCGCCUCUACCUUGCUGCUCCCACCUUGCUUGUGUAACACUAAAUAGACAUCAACUUUUGCCAGAUGCAUGUUGUCCAUUUGGGAAAUUCAAAUUGACAAUGAUGACGUAAUUGCUAGUGUGUUAGUUAAAUUUCUGAGUUUCUGCGCAGAAUGUAGUCAGUGUAAAUGCUUUAUAAUCUAAUACAUGUAUUCUAGAUUAAGGCCAUGACCUGUUGUAGUCUACAUACAGACACAACUACAUAGUUUGAACGGCUUGUGCAACUUUUCUAUGUAAUAAUGUUCAAACAGACUAGUAUUGU